UACGGGGGGGGCAAGCGUUGUUCGGAAUUACUGGGCGUAAAGGGCUGGUAGGCGGCCAACUAAGUCGGAUGUGAAAUCCCCAGGCUUAACCUGGGAACUGCAUCCGAUACUGGUCGGCUUGAAUUCGGGAGAGGGAUGCAGAAUUCCAGGUGUAGCGGUGAAAUGCGUAGAUAUCUGGAGGAAUACCGGUGGCGAAGGCGGCAUCCUGGACCGACAUUGACGCUGAUGAGCGAAAGCUAGGGGAGCAAACGGG
rnacentral:rRNA from 1 species